rnacentral:rRNA from 1 species
UACGGGGGGAGCAAGCGUUGUUCGGAUUUACUGGGCGUAAAGGGCGGGUAGGCGGCCACCGCAAGUCAGUUGUGAAAUCUCUGGGCUUAACCCAGAAAGGUCAACUGAUACUGCGGGGCUAGAGUGCGGAAGGGGCAACUGGAAUUCUCGGUGUAGCGGUGAAAUGCGUAGAUAUCGAGAGGAACACCUGCGGCGAAGGCGGGUUGCUGGGCCGACACUGACGCUGAUGCGCGAAAGCUAGGGGAGCGAACAGG